AAUAGAUACCCGGGUAGUCCACGCCGUAAACGAUGAGUGCUAAGUGUUAGAGGGUUUCCGCCCUUUAGUGCUGCAGCUAACGCAUUAAGCACUCCGCCUGGGGAGUACGGUCGCAAGACUGAAACUCAAAGGAAUUGACGGGGGCCCGCACAAGCGGUGGAGCAUGUGGUUUAAUUCGAAGCAACGCGAAGAACCUUACCAGGUCUUGACAUCCUCUGACAACUCUAGAGAUAGAGCGUUCCCCUUCGGGGGACAGAGUGACAGGUGGUGCAUGGUUGUCGUCAGCUCGUGUCGUGAGAUGUUGGGUUAAGUCCCGCAACGAGCGCAACCCUUGAUCUUAGUUGCCAGCAUUUAGUUGGGCACUCUAAGGUGACUGCCGGUGACAAACCGGAGGAAGGUGGGGAUGACGUCAAAUCAUCACUACCCCUUAUGACCGUGGGCUACACACGUGCUACAAUGGAUGGUACAAAGGGCUGCAAGACCGCGAGGUCAAGCCAAUCCCAUAAAACCAUUCUCAGUUCGGA
rnacentral:rRNA from 1 species